GGAGAGAAAAUAUGUUGAUAUGGAUUAAGGUAUCAUUCACCAUCGCUUUAUUGUUUUUACUAUUCUAUUUUUAAACUCAGAAGGAGGCACCGUUGAUGAUGUUAGUGGCUAAGAUGGCAACAAUAAUAAUAAUAGCAUAUCAACUAGGGUUAAAUAUGGAUCGAAUUCGAUUGGAUUGAGAAAAAAAUUUUAUCUGAUCAAAUCCAAUCAUAUUGAAGAAAAUUCAAUCUACUGC
rnacentral:lncRNA from 1 species